GUUGUCCUCCAUCAUCGAAACUUUUUGAAAUUCCGUUAUACUGUUCAAAUUUGUCACAAAUUUGCCUAUACAGUGAAUAUAGUUUAUUCAUAUUUUGUAAUGGGGCCGGAUCGACUUGGGGCCGGAUCGACGUGGGCCGGAUCGACUUGGGCCGGAUCGACUUUGGGCCGGAUUGACUUGGGACCGGAUCGGUUUGGGGCCGGAUUGACCGGAUUCCUAAUAUUAUAAGUUGAGACAUCAAUUACACAGUUCAUAUAAUGACAUUAUAAUUGUUUCUCUCAUUUUACAUUUCACUUAUAUAGUUAACAAUAAUAAGUAAAAUAUCACAUUCUUCCCAGGAAAAUAUAUAAUCAAAUUUUGUUUCUUCACUCAUUG
rnacentral:lncRNA from 1 species